rnacentral:rRNA from 1 species
GACGAACGCUGGCGGCGUGCUUAACACAUGCAAGUCGAACGGAAAGGCCCUGCUUUUGUGGGGUGCUCGAGUGGCGAACGGGUGAGUAACACGUGAGUAACCUGCCCUUGACUUUGGGAUAACUUCAGGAAACUGGGGCUAAUACCGGAUAGGAGCUCCUGCUGCAUGGUGGGGGUUGGAAAGUUUCGGCGGCUGGGGAUGGACUCGCGGCUUAUCAGCUUGUUGGUGGGGUAGUGGCUUACCAAGGCUUUGACGGGUAGCCGGCCUGAGAGGGUGACCGGCCACAUUGGGACUGAGAUACGGCUCAGACUCCUACGGGAGGCAGCAGUGGGGAAUAUUGCACAAUGGGCGGAAGCCUGAUGCAGCAACGCCGCGUGCGGGAUGACGGCCUUCGGGUUGUAAACCGCCUUCGCCUGUGACGAAGCGUGAGUGACGGUAAUGGGUAAAGAAGCACCGGCUAACUACGUG